ensembl:lncRNA
UUAUUAUUUUAUUGAAAGACUUAAGUAAUUUUUGUUAUUUGAGGCUUUUUUAUUGCCCUUUCAGAAUCCUGUUGUUGAAAGGUGAGUCAGCAACAAGUCUGUGAACACAAGUAGAGCCUGAGUUCUGUUCAAAUGGAUUUGACUGAGACUCACAGUUCUGUGGUUGAUCCUACACAAGGAAUGGAGAAGGGCAGAACCCAUGAACUCCUCUUGAGGUACUGAAGAAUUGGUGCUGUAAAUGGAGCAGUGAAGUGAAGUAAUGAGGUGCCUGCUGAUAGAAGAGGAUUUAAGGCCUCAUUGGGGAGAAGAGUCUGUGAUGGCUGCUGCAUCUGAGAGGAAGACAGAUCCUGGGAGAAGGCCUGAGACAGCUGUAGCAGAGAAUGGGUAA